UGUGACUAUAUUCCAGACACAGUUCUAAGCAUCUCACGUGGCCUGGCGGAUCAGAGUCCUGCUGUUACCCCCAGUGUAAAGGAUCUGGCUUUACCAACGAGUGGAUGAAUACGUGCACACACCCAUGUGUAUCUCCUGCCCCAACCCUCCAUACUACAAGCUCUGUGACUUUUCCCAACACAUUCUCCUGACUUCAAAAGCUGUGCUUGGCAUUCAUCUUAAUGAGCUAUCACCAGGAAAUUAAUUUUGUACUACAAGGAAGGAUCACAUUUUGAUUUGCCAAGUUCUGCUCGCUGGACAGUGGUCGCAUUUAUUUCUGCUUAUUAUCAUUCAACUUAUGUAAAGUUCUAAUGCAAUCAUCUACAUCUGGAGAUUAAAGCAGAACAGUGUUUGUGGGUAA